GGUCCGUUGGUCAAGGGGUUAAGACACCGCCUUUUCACGGCGGUAACACGGGUUCGAAUCCCGUACGGUCCA
rnacentral:tRNA from 1 species